UAAUAAUACUAGUGUUGCACUCACUGAUCAGGUUCUUCUACUUUAAUUAUUCUGUUGGUUAUCAAUUAGUUCAACAUAAAUGCAUUUCUCAAGCUAUUUUUGGUUAUGGAUGUUAUCUUGCAAGCAAAAUCUGAGACAGGAAAAACUGUUGUCUCUGUCCUCUUGACAGUGAAGCAAAUUGAGCGUGUUGCUGGACAUGUUGUUCUAAUUUUGUGUUCACACGACAUAGUUGGGUUACCAGAUAUGUCAACAGUUUGAUCUGUUCAGCACUUACCCGCCUGAUACUGAAGUUGUUGUGUUCAAUGGUAGUUUUAACGUCAAGACACGCAAGGAAUACUAAAAAAAGAGUGCCUCAUGUUGAUUGAAACUUCCCAUCAAUUUGCACCCAUUCUGGAAUGUUUCAGGAAGAAAGGUUUGGCAGAGCAGGUCGAUUUGGUACGAACGGGCUUGCAAUUUAAUUUGUCAUUUCAUGUCUGGGUUCAAGAGAGGUUUGAGGUUCAGGGGAGGUUCAAAGUAAGAGUACUUAUGCUAAUAUUAGAACCAGAUAGUUUAUCAGUUUUAUCAAUAAUCAACUCUCUGCAUCUCUUCUUUAUUGUAAUUGUUAACUAAAAAAUGGAGAAUCUGGGGAUUCUUUCUUGUACCGGAAUGCAGGUUGACAACUUUUCAUCGAAACUAAGCCACCCACUAAAAUCUUUCAACACCCAGUUGGUUUUCAGAAUGCCUUUUUAGUUUAAAUGUGUAUUUGUUGGCAAAUGGUUUACCAGAUUCACAUUGUCUUAAUUUAAGCAUUAUCUACUUAUACAUGCAUAGUGAAAUGCACUGUUGGUUCCUAGCCGACAUACCAUUGGAAUUGUUGUGUUUUUUGAUUUACCUAGGACAUAUAAUAUUCCUAUCCUUAAACUUUCUUGUUGUUUCAGUGUUGGAGUUGAACAGAACUCUGAAUGGAGAGUAGUUGCAGUGAGGAAAUAGGAUGUUGCAGGGUCGUGAACAUAUUUGAACAACCACUAAUUCGAAGAUAAGUUUUCAAUUUCUCUUUGUUCAACCCUUUGCACAAUAUCUAUAUGAAAACUUGUGCAUUGGGGCUCGACAAGAACUCAUGUAGAUAAACAUAAUUUUUCUAUAUCUGUGCAUUUUUGCUAAGCUUCAUUAUACAUUCAGUCAAGCAUUGGCAGUUUCUGUUUUACAUCCCCUAUGAGUUUUGAUAUUUCUCCAUGAACUGAUAUAAAUCAUAAGCAUAUAAACAUGUAUCUAUGAGCAUUAACCUUGAAACAUUUAAACUCUGAAAUUGUGUAUUUUGUUUAUAAAUAUUAAGCUGAAACUGUGUAGGUUCUGAAAAUUUUCUUCAACUGAACUGAGUGUGGUGCUACAAUAGAAAAAACAAUAGAAUUGGUACAACAGUCAAAGGUUGUUGUCAGAAGAACUACAAAGAGUCAUGGUGAACGGCUACAAAGAUUUAAACUAGUUUGAGCAUCUUGGUCUUGGAUGUCAUAGGAAGAUUCUCAAUGGUGAACUGAUGGUAGAAUCUCAGUCCUGAGUUGAGCCAAUUCGUUAUCUUAAGUUUGUAAUAUGAAUCUUGGUAAAGGUUUUCCAACUUGGUGUUAGCAGUUUUUUCAUACUUGGAACUUGUUGUAUUUUAAUUAGUUGAAAUUGUAAACUGAAUGCACUUUUCAAUACAAAUUGAGUUCCAAAGUCAUUGUCGA